CCUAGGUUCUUACCUGUUUUCUUUCUUCUCUGAUUCUAACCCUCUCCCAUUUCUGUUGAAGCAGCACAGCCCCACCGGCUCACCCCCUUCUUUCUUCUCCUCCUCCUAUCUACCUUUCUCCUGCGACCCUACGCUCCCCCGUCUUCUGCCGCAGCCCCUCCAUCUCUCAGGCGCCCUUAGUUCAGGAAUCAUGGCGGACGAAGCUCAGCAUGAUGUGAACGAUCAGGUGGCAGAUAUUGCACCCUUUGAUCCAACUAAGAA